rnacentral:rRNA from 1 species
GAUGAACGCUGGCGGCGUGCCUAAUACAUGCAAGUCGAGCGAACAGACGAGGAGCUUGCUCCUCUGACGUUAGCGGCGGACGGGUGAGUAACACGUGGAUAACCUACCUAUAAGACUGGGAUAACUUCGGGAAACCGGAGCUAAUACCGGAUAAUAUAUUGAACCGCAUGGUUCAAUAGUGAAAGACGGUUUUGCUGUCACUUAUAGAUGGAUCCGCGCCGCAUUAGCUAGUUGGUAAGGUAACGGCUCACCAAGGCAACGAUGCGUAGCCGACCUGAGAGGGUGAUCGGCCACCCUGGAACUGGGACCCGGUCCAGACUCCUACGGGAGGCAGCCGUAGGGAAUCUUCCGCAAUGGGCGGAAGCUUGACGGAGCAACGCCGCGUGAGUGAUGAAGGUCUUCGGAUCGUAAAACUCUGUUAUUAGGGAAGAACAAAUGUGUAAGUAACUAUGCACGUCUUGACGGUACCUAAUCAGAAAGCCACGGCUAACUACGUG